rnacentral:rRNA from 1 species
GCUGAAUCUGGUGCUUGCACUAGACGGAUGAGUUGCGAACGGGUGAGUAACGCGUAGGUAACCUGCCUCAUAGCGGGGGAUAACUAUUGGAAACGAUAGCUAAUACCGCAUAACAGUAUUUACCGCAUGGUAGAUACUUGAAAGGAGCAAUUGCUUCACUAUGAGAUGGACCUGCGUUGUAUUAGCUAGUUGGUGAGGUAACGGCUCACCAAGGCAUCGAUACAUAGCCGACCUGAGAGGGUGAUCGGCCACACUGGGACUGAGACACGGCCCAGACUCCUACGGGAGGCAGCAGUAGGGAAUCUUCGGCAAUGGGGGCAACCCUGACCGAGCAACGCCGCGUGAGUGAAGAAGGUUUUCGGAUCGUAAAGCUCUGUUGUAAGAGAAGAACUGUGAUAAGAGUGGAAAGUUUCUCACUUGACGGUAUCUUACCAGAAAGGGACGGCUAACUACGUGCCAGCAGCCGCGGUAAUACGUAGGUCCCGAGCGUUGUCCGGAUUUUAUU